ACGAGGUUCUCCUGCCCCUGGGGCUGGCGAUUGUCCACCGACUUCCUGCCGGAGAGGAGCUCCAGCAGAACGACCCCGAAGCUGUAGACGUCGCUCUUGACCAGCAGAUGGCCGGUCAUGGCAUACUCCGGAGCAACGUACCUGCAAGGUGACGAGCCCCUCCUCAUUACAGUAUAUUGGUUAUUCACAUCAUACUAAAUAAAUAUAGGAUUUUGCCCAUUUAGUCUACUCAAUAACAGCGGAAUAAUGAAAGUUACUGGAGAAUUUGGAGGGGGGGAAGAUCGCAAGCAUGGUACCAUGCAGGUGCAGGGACGAGGAAUUUACCCAAAAGUACCCAUGAAUCGUGAUGAGAUAUGUUGAAUUCCUUCGGAUGCGUCCCUUGCCAGUCCAAAAUCAGAC
rnacentral:lncRNA from 1 species